GACGAACGCUGGCGGCGUGCUUAACACAUGCAAGUCGAACGGAAAGGCCCUGCUUUUGUGGGGUGCUCGAGUGGCGAACGGGUGAGUAACACGUGAGUAACCUGCCCUUGACUUUGGGAUAACUUCAGGAAACUGGGGCUAAUACCGGAUAGGAGCUCCUGCUGCAUGGUGGGGGUUGGAAAGUUUCGGCGGUUGGGGAUGGACUCGCGGCUUAUCAGCUUGUUGGUGGGGUAGUGGCUUACCAAGGCUUUGACGGGUAGCCGGCCUGAGAGGGUGACCGGCCACUUGGGAACUGAGAUACGGCCCAGACUCCUAGGGGAGGAAGCAGGGGGGAAUAUUGCACAAGGGGCGGGAGCAAGAUCAAGAAGCCGCGGGUGGGGGAUGACGGCCUUGGGGUUGAAAACCUUUUUCGCCGGUGAAGAAGCGUGGGUGGCGGUAAUGGGUAAAGGAGCACCGGUUAAUUACUU
rnacentral:rRNA from 1 species